rnacentral:rRNA from 1 species
GACGAACGCUGGCGGCGUGCUUAACACAUGCAAGUCGAACGGAAAGGCCCUGCUUUUGUGGGGUGCUCGAGUGGCGAACGGGUGAGUAACACGUGAGUAACCUGAUCUUGACUUUGGGAUAACUUCAGGAAACUGGGGCUAAUACCGGAUAGGAGAUCCUGCUGCAUGGUGGGGGUUGGAACGUUUCGGCGGUCGGGGAUGGACUCGCGGCUUAUCAGCUUGUUGGUGGGGUAGUGGCUUACCCAGGCUUUGACGGGUAGCCGGCCUGAGAGGGUGACCGGCCACAUUGGGACUGAGAGACGGCCCAGACUCCUACGGGGGGCAGAAGUGGGGAAUAUUGCACAGUGAGCGGAAGCCUGAUGCAGCAACGCCGCGGGCGGGAUGACGGCCUUCGGGUUGUAAACCGCUUUCGCCUAUUACGAAGCGGGAGUGACGGUAAUGAAUAAAGAAGCACCGGCUAACUACGUG